rnacentral:rRNA from 1 species
AGCUAAUACAUGCAACCUGUAUACCCUGAUGGCGCCGCUUGAGUGCGUGCGACCGCGCGUGCUCCUGCGUGUUUUUUUGCCUGACGGGUGCUUUUAUUAGACCAAACAUCGCUGGCGGCGCAAGCCGCUAGGCUCGUAAAAUGGUGACUCUGGAUAACCUUCUGACAAGCGCACGUACUUCAUUAUUCAUGGAGACGGCGCUGCCACUUUCGAGUGUCUGCCUUAUCAGCUAUCAACCGUUCGUUAUGUGCGACCGAUGGCUUUGACGGGUAACGGGGAAUCAGGGUUCGAUUCCGGAGAGGCAGCCUGAGAAACGGCUACCACGUCCAAGGACGGCAGCAGGCACGCAAAUUACCCAAUCCCAGCACCUGGGGGAGGUAGUGACGAAAUCUAACGAUGCGGGCGCCCAUUCUGGGCCUCGCAAUCGGAAUGAGCAUUUUCUAAACAACCUGUUGAGAACCUACUGAAGGGCAAGUCUGGUGCCAGCAGCCGCGGUAAUUCCAGCUUCAGCAGCAUAUAUUAAAGUUGCUGCGGUUAAAAGGCUCGCAGUUGAAUGUCAGUGUUGGGCGACGGUAAGGUGGACGCUGGAGCAUGGGAACUAAGCGCGCCAGCGUGCAGCUCGCGUGGCGUGUGGCCCGUGGCGUAGCGCCGUAACACGCGCGAAACCCUCGCCCUGCCGCGCGUCUCUCGCUGGCGUCUCUCACAAGCUCCCGUCUGUUACAAGCCUCCUCGCUCCAGUACAUGGGCGGUAACGACUCUCCUCGGAUUGCGCGAGCGCGCUCUUUUCUCCUAGCCUCGCGAAAGCCGUCGCUUCCCGUCGCGCACGCGUGUGUGCCUCAUGUGUGCGCACGCGUGCCUGGGAGCUUCGGUGUCUGUAGCUUGGCGCUCACGGGGAGGCGCGUCUUCGUGCCGAGGAGUGGGACGCGGUCAAAAGAGACGGCAAUGUUGUUUUGUCGUCGUGCGCGCGGGCCAGAGUGCGUGUCCGAGCGCGCGUGUGCUGUCUGCGGUGUGUGCGUCUGUGCGCGGU